rnacentral:rRNA from 1 species
UACGAAGGUGGCAAGCGUUACUCGGAAUUACUAGGCGUAAAGGGCAGGUAGGUGGUUUGGUAAGUCUGUUGUGUAAGCUCCCGGCUUAACUGGGAGAGGUCAACAGAAACUACCAGACUUGAGUAUAGGAGAGGGUACUGGAAUUCCCGGUGUAGCGGUGAAAUGCGCAGAGAUCGGGAGGAACACCAAUGGCGAAAGCAGGUACCUGGACUAUUACUGACACUAAGCUGCGAAAGCUAGGGGAGCAAACAGG